GUGUUACAUGACAGGAGAGAAGGUUAGCACUCCCCUUGACAAGGAUGAAAGAGGCCCUUGAGCCAGGUAACACACAUACAAUUAAAGCGUGGCAUAUAACCACUGUUUUUG
rnacentral:ncRNA from 1 species